CCCUUCAAAUUCUGUUUAUCCAUUUCUCAUUUCUUUUACUACUUUCUUCUAAUCUUGAAUUAGGGUUUUUCCAAAUCUCUUACCAUGGUUUCCGAUUCGAUCAGCAUUGUUUCGAUUGCUAUGGCGUCUUCAAACCAGAAGGAUUUCGCUAAGAAGAAGAGGGGGAACAAGUCUGCCAAACUGAAACAGUACAAACUUGAUGCGCGUCGUGAGCAGUGGCUUUCUCAAUCUCAAGAUUAGCUCUAUGUUGGGAUUCCAUGAUUUGUGUUUGUCAGAGAUCACUAUCACAAUCAUGCGCUAUGGAUAAAUUGUUUGUUGAUGUUUUCUUGAGAAUCUAGGCUUACUUGUUUUGCUGACUUGUAGCAUGGUAUAUUGAGGUAAACAAAGUAACAAACUUCCAUUUUCCUAAAUAUUGUUCUUUCGAUUGUUCAUUCUUGAAAAUUAACAAAAUGUAUGUUUUGCAGAGAUUGUCCUUUUGAUGAUUGUGGUUGGUAUUAGUUCUGUUUGUCAUUCAUUCUAUAAGGAAAAUUGUUUUAGCCAUUUUUUUGGUGGAUCUUUAUGUUUGCUUUUUCAUGCGAAGUGGCUUGCACUUAUUGUAUAUUUAAUUGCAGUAUUUUACUGGUUCCUUGUACGGUCCUAGUUUUCCUGAAGAUUAUACCAAAAUUGUGCAAAGCUAAGAAAUAAGCAAGUGAUCUCAAUAUAGUUCCUAUAGCAAAUCUAUUAUGAAACCCUAUGAGAGAACUAAUCUAUUUAGAUUAAGUGUUGAAUAGAAUUAUCAAACAUAGUCUAAGAUUAUCAUUGUUAGCAUCCCCUGUGCAAAAUAACUCUCCACUGGUGUUCAAUUCACGUAGAAUGCAAUGUUUGAAAUUUUUUGUUUCACUAUUUUUUGCAUAUGAUAACUGUAAGCAUGAUUGUUGACGACAUUACUAUUUUACUAUGCAUUUGGUUCUCCUGAAAGGUUGUGAUAUUGUGGUAAUUCCUAAACAAAUAUAAUGUUCGUAUUACCCUUGAUAGGGUUUUUGAGAAGUGUUUUAGGUGAGAAUUUAGAGACAUCUCUUCAUUCAUAUCAUAGAUGGCUAGCAGCUUUACUCGAUUUGGAAACAUUUUGUAUUUCUAUUUCUGGAUGCAAAACGUUUGGUAAUGUUUGUGUUACCCUUGAUAGGGUUUUUGGAAAGUGUUUUAGGUGAGAAAGUAGAAUGGCCUAAACCCUUUAGGUGAGAAUAUAGACAUCUCUUUAAUAGAUGGCUAGAAACUCUAUUUGUAACAUAUAUUGCUCCAUUUGGAACCACUUUUGAUUUCUGUUUCUGGAUGCAAAAACGUUUGGUAAUUAAACUUAAACAAGACAUAAUUUACGUUCUUGGAUCCAAAUACAAAACUGUAACAAGGUUUUACAAUUGAGGCCAUAGAGCUAGUUGUCUAUAAUGUCAAACAACAUAGUGAGCUGAGUUGACAUAACUGCCUAGAUUAAGAUGCACAUACUAUAAAAGUUGAAGCACACGUAAAAGUUCAUUUUUCGAGGUUUUAUAGUAUAGGAGGUUUUGUGUUUAUAUUUUACUUGGUUUAUAGUGUUAUUAAGUAUUCUAUUGAAGUUAUUUCUCUAUUUGUUUACUUUUAUCUAGUAAUGCUGCAUAAAAGGUUAUCAACCUGGGGCUUUGAUGGCCACAGAUUCUAGAACCAUGGAACAUCAAUUUUGGUAUUUCUCCCAUAUUUACGGAUCUGGGUGUAUUUCAUUGAGUCACUUCGUAAAUUUAUUGAGGAAUAUGUUAGACAUGAUUCAGUUUGUCAUAUUAGAUUUUCUUAUUUGUUUAAUCUGGUGAAGUAACUUCCAAUCUGCAUGGGCAUUAUUACCUAGAUCCUUGAAUGAUGAUUGAUGACGACUUAUUAUAAGUUUCAGUCUCUUUAAGAUUUACCACCAUCACCGAGAAGGCUAAGCUUUCGCCCUUCAGGAUUUGAGAUUAGUUGACAAUCCUUAGAAGAAGCUUUAUCGUGUUUGCAGUUUCAGCAAAUGAUUCGAAUUUUGAAAAGGUAUAUAUAUAUUUUUCUUUUUCUGAAGAUUACAAAUUUUUAUGCUCUAUUAAUAUUCUGAAAACAAAGCUUAUAUCAGUCAUAUCAUGGUGUGCUUGUGCUUUCUUAAAAAAUGUUGGUAUGCAGAGCAGUUAGACAGAUAUAUAUGAAGAUCCAUUUUCAUGUUCUAAAUGGUUAAGGAUGAUGAUUGACAUUUUUUCAUUAUAGUACUCAUGUUUUUUUAUCACUUUUAUUUAGGUUUACCAAAGGAUCACCACUAAACUGUUAUGUUUUGUCAAGAUUGAUUUGCCAUUAUGUAACUAGUGUUUCUCUUGUCUUGUAUUUUGCUUGUGUUUUGUGAUCAAACCUGAAUAAUUUCAAAUUAACUAUCUUAUAUCUUCUAUAUAGCUAAUAAUUCUUCUCAA